GAUGAACGCUGGCGGCGUGCCUAAUACAUGCAAGUCGAGCGAACGGACGAGAAGCUUGCUUCUCUGAUGUUAGCGGCGGACGGGUGAGUAACACGUGGAUAACCUACCUAUAAGACUGGGAUAACUUCGGGAAACCGGAGCUAAUACCGGAUAAUAUUUUGAACCGCAUGGUUCAAAAGUAAAAGACGGUCUUGCUGUCACUUAUAGAUGGAUCCGCGCUGCAUUAGCUAGUUGGUAAGGUAACGGCUUACCAAGGCAACGAUGCAUAGCCGACCUGAGAGGGUGAUCGGCCACACUGGAACUGAGGCACGGUCCAGACUCCUACGGGAGGCAGCAGUAGGGAAUCUUCCGCAAUGGGCGAAAGCCUGACGGAGCAACGCCGCGUGAGUGGUGAAGGUCUUCGGAUCGUAAAACUCUGUUAUUAGGGAAGAACAUAUGUGUAAGUAACUGUGCACAUCUUGACGGUACCUAAUCAGAAAGCCACGGCUAACUACGUG
rnacentral:rRNA from 1 species